CAGCCGCCACGGUAAUACGGAGGGUGCAAGCGUUAAUCGGAAUUACUGGGCGUAAAGCGCACGCAGGCGGUCUGUCAAGUCGGAUGUGAAAUCCCCGGGCUCAACCUGGGAACUGCAUUCGAAACUGGCAGGCUAGAGUCUUGUAGAGGGGGGUAGAAUUCCAGGUGUAGCGGUGAAAUGCGUAGAGAUCUGGAGGAAUACCGGUGGCGAAGGCGGCCCCCUGGACAAAGACUGACGCUCAGGUGCGAAAGCGUGGGGAGCAAACAGGAUUAGAUACCCCUGUAGUCCCUGUCUCUUAUAC
rnacentral:rRNA from 1 species